rnacentral:rRNA from 1 species
AUGCUUGCCGAUGGCCUCGCCGCCGAGCUCCACGGCCGAGUUGAGCAGCACCAGGGCGAAGAGCUGCACGUCCUCCUCGGAGGUGAACGCGCCGUGCCCCUCGGGCGUCAUCACCAUGUCGGGGGCAUUGAGGAGCAGCGAGCAGAGGAAGUUGAAGACAUCAACCAUGCACCGCGCGCCGAAGCCUGCCGCGGAGGUGACGGACAUGUCGUCCUCAGCAUCCUCGCGGAUGUCCGGCAGGCGGGCGAAGACGGCCUGCAGGAUCUCGUGCAUGCAGUGUCGAGCCGUGCGCUGCAGGAGCUCGCUGCCGCGGCUGCUGGCCGCGUGCUGCACCACCUGGAAGCACGUGUUGACUGCGGUGCACACGGCGCUGUCCGAAAGGAGAGGCGCGGCGCGGGCGCGGAGAAGCGCGGCGAGCACCUGCAGCACGCGCAGGAGCACGGCCUCCUCGGCGCCGGCGUCCGCGAUGCGCUCUAUGCGGCAGUUGGUGACCGCGGUCAGGAUGGCCUGUAUCGCGUCCCGGGCGCCCGGCGAGCACUCGUCGAACACGUCGAUCCGCAGGAUCUUCAGCACGGACGACAGGGCGACGCCGGUGGCCGCCGGCGGGACCUCCUCGCUCUGCACGACGUCGAGGAACGGCGACAGGUACAUGGACGGGUCGGAGCAGCGCCACGCGCCGUGGCGGGGCUGGAAGAGGAGGGCACGGAGGCUCUUGAGGGACUGGAUGAGGCCUGCGAACACGGCCUCUUCCGCAGCGGCGACCGCCGGAGGGAGGUAAGCGUAGGGGUCCGGGCGACGGCGGAUGACGGCGAGGAGCGCGGCCACCUCCGUGUUGAGCAUGCAGGAGAUGCCGAGGUCCUUGAGCCGGGGGUCACGGCGAGUCCCGCGUGCCACGGUGUAGGUGGGCGGGCCAUCGUCGUCGUCGUCCGAGGCCGGCGUCCUUGCCAUCGCGCGCCGGCGUCGAGGAUUAUUGGGCGCUCCGAGGUCAAGGGGAGGAUUAACUUGUUCAGGAGAAGGCUAUGUCUACUUUGA